rnacentral:rRNA from 1 species
ACGCUGGCGGCGUGCUUAACACAUGCAAGUCGAACGAUGAAGCCUAGCUUGCUAGGUGGAUUAGUGGCGAACGGGUGAGUAAUACGUGAGUAACCUACUUUUAACUCUGGGAUAAGCCUGGGAAACUGGGUCUAAUACCGGAUACGACCAAUCUCCGCAUGGGGUGUUGGUGGAAAGCGUUAUGUAGUGGUUAUAGAUGGGCUCACGGCCUAUCAGCUUGUUGGUGAGGUAACGGCUCACCAAGGCGACGACGGGUAGCCGGCCUGAGAGGGUGACCGGCCACACUGGGACUGAGACACGGCCCAGACUCCUACGGGAGGCAGCAGUGGGGAAUAUUGCACAAUGGGCGCAAGCCUGAUGCAGCGACGCCGCGUGAGGGAUGACGGCCUUCGGGUUGUAAACCUCUGUUAGCAGGGAAGAAGAGAGAUUGACGGUACCUGCAGAGAAAGCGCCGGCUAACUACGUGCCAGCAGCCGCGGUAAUACGUAGGGCGCGAGCGUUGUCCGGAAUUAUUGGGCGUAAAAAGCUUGUAGGCGGUUUGUCGCGUCUGCUGUGAAAGGCCGGAGCUUAACUCCGUGUAUUGCAGUGGGUACGGGCAGACUAGAGUGCAGUAGGGGAGACUGGAAUUCCUGGUGUAGCGGUGGAAUGCGCAGAUAUCAGGAGGAACACCGAUGGCGAAGGCAGGUCUCUGGGCUGUAACUGACGCUGAGAAGCGAAAGCAUGGGGAGCGAACAGGAUUAGAUACCCUGGUAGUCCAUGCCGUAAACGUUGGGCACUAGGUGUGGGGGACAUUCCACGUUUUCCGCGCCGUAGCUAACGCAUUAAGUGCCCCGCCUGGGGAGUACGGCCGCAAGGCUAAAACUCAAAGAAAUUGACGGGGGCCCGCACAAGCGGCGGAGCAUGCGGAUUA